rnacentral:rRNA from 1 species
GGCUCACACAACGAUGAAGGACGCAGCAAAUUGCGAUAUGCAUUAUGACUUGCAGACUUCUGCGAUUAACAGACCUCCGAACGUAACCAACACACCGCCUCUGCUCGCAUGCGGUACUCCCGUUUCAGUGAGCCCUCUGUCCUAAGGGCGCAACCCUUUUGGUGGCCCUUGCGAGUGGGCGAUUGGCGUCGCCCGAUUGCGCAGACGCUUGCCUGGGACUUGUGCGGGCGACCGCCGCCUCGGAGCUGCCUGUUGUAACUCGUUACUCUGGCUCCUGAUUGGCGUCAGCAGGUCCAGGCGCUGCUUUGCAGUGGCCGUCUGAGAGGUUUAAACUCGCUCCUGAAAUCGGGUGAGGCUAUCCGCUGAAUUUAAGCAUAUAAUUAAGCGGAAGAAAAGAAAAUAACUAUGAUUCCCUUAGUAACGGCGAG